AGCUCACCGCGUCGCGGGGAUUCGAACCACCAAACUUCUGAUCGGCAAGUCCUAGGCUCUGUAGUUUAACCCACAGUGCCACCCGCGUCCCUGCAAUUAUGCUAAACAACCAUUAAUGAGAAACACAAGACUUGGAAGAUGUGGGAACUGAGCUGGGCCCAACAAUCCCUUCGGCAAAACUGUCACCUUCCAUGAAUAUGUCAGUCCUUUAGGGUGCAAGAACCAGCCUUCAGAGACUGAGAAGCGGGUCGCCAGAGGCAUUUUGAAAAGGACAUGAUGGACUUCUUCUGCACACCCUAAUUUGACAAACCCGUAAGCUUGUUGCAGGCGUGGAGGAGUGGAUGGGUGAGGACCCCUAAGCUACAUUUAAACCCUGUCGAGACGGAGGCCUUGUGGGCGAGUGGCUGCUGCAUCCAAGAAACAGGAGAGUUACCUGCUCUGGAUGGGGCUUCACUCCCUUCUGAAUGAACAAGAAUGGAGUCCUGCCAUGCUCCUGGAUCCCUCUUUGUCACUGGAGCCACAGGUAGCCUCGGUUGCUAGGAGUGCCUUUUACCAGCUUCAUCUGGUGCUGCUUCCAGUUUAGCAGUCGUGUUGAAUCGGGAACUCCUGUGCAGCCAUGCCUUUAAUGGAAAGUUACAUGUUGCAAAGGACGCCAGAUCAUCAUAAAUCAAA